UGAACCAGCCAAGUAGCGUGCAGGAUGACGGCCCUAUGGGUUGUAAACUGCUUUUAUACAGGAAUAAAGUUAGCCACGUGUGGUUAUUUGUAGGUACUGUAUGAAUAAGGACCGGCUAAUUCCGUGCCAGCGAGCCGCGGUAAU
rnacentral:rRNA from 1 species